rnacentral:rRNA from 1 species
AACGUAGGUGGCAAGCGUUAUCCGGAAUUACUGGGCGUAAAGCGUGCGCAGGCGGCUUCUCAAGUCAGGGGUGAAAGCCCAGAGCUCAACUCUGGAAUUGCCUUUGAGACUGAGUGGCUUGAGUACGGGAGAGGUGAGUGGAAUUCCCAGUGUAGAGGUGAAAUUCGUAGAUAUUGGGAAGAACACCGGUGGCGAAGACGGCUCACUGGCCCGUAACUGACGCUCAUGCACGACAGCGUGGGGAUCAAACAGG